rnacentral:rRNA from 2 species
UGCAGUCGAGCGAAGAGAUGGGAGCUUGCUCCCUGAUCUUAGCGGCGGACGGGUGAGUAACACGUGGGCAACCUGCCCUGCAGACUGGGAUAACUCCGGGAAACCGGAGCUAAUACCGGGUAAUACAUCGCACCGCAUGGUGCAAUGUUGAAAGUUGGCUUUCUGAGCUAACACUGCAGGAUGGGCCCGCGGCGCAUUAGCUAGUUGGUAAGGUAAUGGCUUACCAAGGCGACGAUGCGUAGCCGACCUGAGAGGGUGAUCGGCCACACUGGGACUGAGACACGGCCCAGACUCCUACGGGAGGCAGCAGUAGGGAAUCUUCCGCAAUGGACGAAAGUCUGACGGAGCAACGCCGCGUGAGUGACGAAGGCCUUCGGGUCGUAAAGCUCUGUUGUUAGGGAAGAACAAGUACCGUUCGAAUAGGGCGGUACCUUGACGGUACCUAACCAGAAAGCCACGGCUAACUACGUGCCAGCAGCCGCGGUAAUACGUAGGUGGCAAGCGUUGUCCGGAAUUAUUGGGCGUAAAGCGCGCGCAGGCGGUCUUUUAAGUCUGAUGUGAAAGCCCACGGCUCAACCGUGGAGGGUCAUUGGAAACUGGAGGACUUGAGUGCAGAAGAGGAGAGUGGAAUUCCACGUGUAGCGGUGAAAUGCGUAGAUAUGUGGAGGAACACCAGUGGCGAAGGCGGCUCUCUGGUCUGUAACUGACGCUGAGGCG